CUGGAUAUAGCUCAGUUGGUAGAGUACUUGCCUCACAUGCACAAGGCCCUGGGUUUGAUCCCCAGCACCCACC
rnacentral:tRNA from 1 species